CAGUCGCCGCGGUAAUACGUAGGUGGCAAGCGUUGUCCGGAAUUAUUGGGCGUAAAGGGCUCGCAGGCGGUUUCUUAAGUCUGAUGUGAAAGCCCCCGGCUCAACCGGGGAGGGUCAUUGGAAACUGGGAAACUUGAGUGCAGAAGAGGAGAGUGGAAUUCCACGUGUAGCGGUGAAAUGCGUAGAGAUGUGGAGGAACACCAGUGGCGAAGGCGACUCUCUGGUCUGUAGCUGACGCUGAGGAGCGAAAGCGUGGGGAGCGAACAGGAUUAGAUACCCCCGUAGUCCCUGUCUCUUAUAC
rnacentral:rRNA from 1 species